GAUCGCCAGCGCCGAGCUCACCCGGCCAAGCCGCGGUGCGGGGGGAGAGAGCGAUGUCCCCCCGAUACCCUAACGACGGGCCAAACCCAUCUGGCCGGAAAACGCGUGAGCUAAUCGAAGCGGCCCCUGCCGUCUCCUAGAAAUGCCAUCAUCCCCGACUCUCUUCAGAGGCCCCAGAAGAUCUCAGACCUCGUGCCCCAAGUUCAUUUCGGUCCAACGCGCAGCUAGUAGAAAGCAUUCACCGUAUCCGCAAAGAGCCUUCAGCCUCCGGGCUUCGCCAGACCUUCGAAUUCGGACCCCCGAGCCCUCUCCGAAACUCCCAGAGGACGGCAAUCGGAGCUCUAAUCCAGCACGGGAGCCCACCUGCUUAGUAACAGGCGGCUAAAAGGGAGAGCUGGAGAGUAUUGAUAAUAAUAACGAUGUCGGUA